rnacentral:rRNA from 1 species
UACGUAGGGGGCGAGCGUUGUCCGGAUUUAUUGGGCGUAAAGAGCGUGUAGGCGGCCAGGUAAGUCUGCUGUGAAAACUCGAGGCUCAACCUCGAGACGUCGGCGGAAACCAUCUGGCUAGAGUCCGGAAGAGGAGAGUGGAAUUCCUGGUGUAGCGGUGAAAUGCGCAGAUAUCAGGAGGAACACCAAUGGCGAAGGCAGCUCGCUGGAACGGUACUGACGCUGAGGCGCGAAAGCGUGGGGAGCGAACAGG